GUGGGGAAUAUUGGACAAUGGGCGCAAGCCUGAUCCAGCAAUGCCGCGUGGGUGAAGAAGGCCUUCGGGUUGUAAAGCCCUUUUGUACGGGAAGAAAUCAUUCGGGUUAAUACCCUGGGCUAAUGACGGUACCGUAAGAAUAAGCACCGGCUAACUACGUGCCAGCAGCCGCGGUAAUACGUAGGGUGCAAGCGUUAAUCGGAAUUACUGGGCGUAAAGCGUGCGCAGGCGGUUUUGUAAGACAGGCGUGAAAUCCCCGGGCUCAACCUGGGAAUUGCGCUUGGGACUGCAAGGCUGGAGUGCGGCAGAGGGGGAUGGAAUUCCGCGUGUAGCAGUGAAAUGCGUAGAUAUGCGGAGGAACACCGAUGGCGAAGGCAAUCCCCUGGGCCUGCACUGACGCUCAUGCACGAAAGCGUGGGGAGCAAACAGGAUUAGAUACCCGGGUAGUCC
rnacentral:rRNA from 1 species